ACUCCUACGGGAGGCAGCAGUGGGGAAUAUUGCACAAUGGGCGCAAGCCUGAUGCAGCAACGCCGUGUGAGUGAAGAAGGUUUUCGGAUCGUAAAACUCUGUCCUAAGGGAAGAAACAAAUGACGGUACCUUAGGAGGAAGCCCCGGCUAACUACGUGCCAGCAGCCGCGGUAAUACGUAGGGGCAAGCGUUAUCCGGAAUCACUGGGCGUAAAGGGUGCGUAGGCGGCUUAGCAAGCCAGGGGUGAAAGGCAUUGGCUCAACCAAUGUAAGCCUUUGGAACUGUUAAGCUUGAGUGCAGGAGAGGUAAGUGGAAUUCCUAGUGUAGAGGUGAAAUUCGUAGAUAUUAGGAGGAACACCAGUGGCGAAGGCGACUUACUGGACUGUAACUGACGCUGAUGCACGAAAGCGUGGGUAGCGAACAGGAUUAGAUACCCGUGGUAGCACAGA
rnacentral:rRNA from 1 species